UACGAAGGGGGCUAGCGUUGCUCGGAAUGACUGGGCGUAAAGGGCGCGUAGGCGGCUCAUACAGUCAGGCGUGAAAUUCCUGGGCUCAACCUGGGGACUGCGCUUGAGACGUGUGGGCUUGAGUGAGGAAGAGGGUCGUGGAAUUCCCAGUGUAGAGGUGAAAUUCGUAGAUAUUGGGAAGAACACCGGUGGCGAAGGCGGCGACCUGGUCCGAUACUGACGCUGAUGCACGAAAGCGUGGGGAGCAAACAGG
rnacentral:rRNA from 1 species